rnacentral:rRNA from 1 species
GAGUUUGAUCCUGGCUCAGAUUGAACGCUGGCGGCAGGCCUAACACAUGCAAGUCGAGCGGAUGAAGGGAGCUUGCUCCUGGAUUCAGCGGCGGACGGGUGAGUAAUGCCUAGGAAUCUGCCUGGUAGUGGGGAUAACGUCCGGAAACGGGCGCUAAUACCGCAUACGUCCUGAGGGGGAAAGUGGGGGAUCUUCGGACCUCACGCUAUCAGAUGAGCCUAGGUCGGAUUAGCUAGUUGGUGGGGUAAAGGCCUACCAAGGCGACGAUCCGUAACUGGUCUGAGAGGAUGAUCAGUCACACUGGAACUGAGACACGGUCCAGACUCCUACGGGAGGCAGCAGUGGGGAAUAUUGGACAAUGGGCGAAAGCCUGAUCCAGCCAUGCCGCGUGUGUGAAGAAGGUCUUCGGAUUGUAAAGCACUUUAAGUUGGGAGGAAGGGCAGUAAGUUAAUACCUUGCUGUUUUGUACGUUACCAACAGAAUGAGCACCGGCUAACUUCGUGCCAGCAGCCGCGGU